CCUGUCCCUAGAUGCCUAGCAGAUGUGACUGCUGUGUCACAUGUGUAUCAGUAGGUGGAAGAGAGGAGAGAGGCUACACCCAAUGUUCUGAUCUAUGGACAUCUGAAUGGUUAGUAGCCUAACACU